AUUGAACGCUGGCGGCAGGCCUAACACAUGCAAGUCGAGCGGAGCGGCGGACGGGUGAGUAAUGCCUAGGAAUCUGCCUGGUAGUGGGGGAUAACGUCCGGAAACGGGUGCUAAUACCGCAUACUAUCAGCUGAGCCGAGGUCGGAUUAGCUAGUUGGUGGGGUAAAGGCCUACCAAGGCGAAGAUCCGUAACUGGUCUGAGAGGAUGAUCAGUCACACUUGAACUGUGACACGGUCCAGACUCCUACGGUGGGCAUCAGUGGGGAAUAUUGCACAAUGGGCUCAAGCAUGAUGCAGCAAUGCCGCGUGUAUGAAGAAGGCCUUCGGGUUGUAAAGUACUUUCAGCGGGGAGGCGUUACCCGCAGAAGAAGCACCGGCUAACACCGUGCCAGCAGCCGCGGUAAUUC
rnacentral:rRNA from 1 species